GACGAACGCUGGCGGCGUGCUUAACACAUGCAAGUCGAACGGAAAGGCCCUGCUUUUGUGGGUUUCUCGAUUGGCGAACGGGUGAGUAGCACGUGAGUAACCUGCCCUUGACUUUGGGAUAACUUCAGGAAACUGGGGCUAAUACCGGAUAGGAGCUCCUGCUGCAUGGUGGGGGUUGGAAAGUUUCGGCGGUUGGGGAUGGACUCGCGGCUUAUCAGCUUGUUGGUGGGGUAGUGGCUUACCAAGGCUUUGACGGGUAGCCGGCCUGAGAGGGUGAACGGCCACCUUGGGACUGAGAUACGGCGCAGACUCCAACGGGAGGCAGCAGUGGGGAAUAUUGCACAAUGGGCGGAAGCCUGAUGCAGCAACGCCGCGUGCGGGAUGACGGCUUUCGGGUUGUAAACCGCUUUCGCCUGUGACGAAGCGUGAGUGACGGUAAUGGGUAAAGAAGCAACGGCUAACUACGUG
rnacentral:rRNA from 1 species